GAUUCUGGCUCAGGAUGAACGCUAGCGGCAGGCCUAAUACAUGCAAGUCGUACGGGAUAGGCACUUUCGGGUGUCUUGAGAGUGGCGCACGGGUGCGCAACGCGUAUGCAACCAACCCCCGACGGGCGGAUAGCCGGUGGAAACGCCGGAUAAUACGCCAUGGUUCCCUGGGAGGGCAUCCUCUUGGGGAUAAAGCAGCGAUGCGGUCGGGGACGGGCAUGCGUCCCAUUAGAUGGUAGGCGGGGUGACGGCCCACCUAGUCGACGAUGGGUAGGGGAUCUGAGAGGACGGUCCCCCACACUGGUACUGAGACACGGACCAGACUCCUGCGGGAGGCAGCAGUAAGGGAUAUUGGGCAAUGGUCGGAAGACUGACCCAGCCAAUGCCGCGUGAGGGAAUGAGGCCCUACGGGUCGUGAACCUCUUUUAUUCGGGGACAAGGACGCGGUCGCGAACCGUGUUUGAGGGUACCGAAGGAAUAAGCAUCGGCUAACUCCGUGCCAGCCGCGGC
rnacentral:rRNA from 1 species